UCUUCUUGCAAAAAACUAGUAUAUAAGGAAGAUCCACACAAUACAGUAUUAUAGGUUAGUAGAACCAGUGCUACUGAUCAGAUUCAUCAUGUUCAAAUUGCUCUUUUUCUUUGCCUUGCUGGCCAUCGCUUUGGCUCUUCCCAAACCUGCGCCAGUUCCAGAUCCCCAAUGGUACACAGUGGGGGCAGUACCUUAUGCAGCCUAUUACCCUACUUACGGAUGGGGUGCAGUGGUUUACUAGAAGACACAUUGGCUGGAUAUUUGGUCUACAUUUAUAAUUAGUGCGUUUGUUAUAUAAAAGUUAAGAGAAAAAUAUAUCAUCUCUGUAAUAUAAAAAUAAUAAAAAAAUAUAUAAGUAAAACAUA